rnacentral:ribozyme from 1 species
AUUUAUUUUACGAAAGAAAGAAAUAUGGUUUCAAAAAACGAUAGCCAGACAAUCUCUCUUUCUCUCUCCUUUUUCUCUCUCCUUUUUCUCUCUCCUUUUUCUCUCU